CGUGGCCUCCUUCCCUGCCCUGCAGCUGACCUGCUGGGCGCCGCAAGGCGGAUACAGCAGCAAACCCAGCUCCCUCGUGGGGUGUCAGAUAAGGAAACUGGCAUGACUUCAAUUCAGUGAGACUUCAUUGGGAUGAGAAACUAUACAAAUGUUGUCAAGGUACCGAAAUAAAAAAGGAACAGGCCCCUAAUGGAUAUGUCCGAGGGAGCUACAAUUUGUUUUCCAUAUGCACUGCCAUUUCUGACUGUUCCUGAUCUGGUGACUGGUAGCUACAUGGCAUGAUGCCAUCUCCUCUGACUCUCACUUUUCAGCCAUGAUGUCAGGGAACAAUGUGUACCUCCUCGCUUUCUGAUGGCAAGUUUUCUUGAUAAUAUGAGGAAAUAUCCUUCUUGCACUUCCCUCUUCUUUUGGAGCAGAAAGCAUCUCUAUCUCAAGGCUUGUCUACACUUUCAGCACUCUGCCACGCUUAGUACUUAUGCUGAUGACGUAGGUACUCGACCUCCCCGAAAAGCAAUAGCUAUGUCGAUGAGAGAAGCCCCCCUGUUGACAUAGUUUUGUCUACACCAGAGUUCAGUGUCCUUGACUACUCGACUGCCCGUAUCAUCCACUGCUCA